GAGCAGGGGAGCACUACGGAGGACCAGGUGGAGCAGGCGAGCACUAUGGAGGGCAAAGAAGAGAAGAAAUAACACUUUCCACCGUAUGAUGUCCAGCCCUCUUCACAAAACUUACAAGAUGGAUCACUGAACUCUGAAGCACAACAUUACGAACAUCAUGUUUAAAACUAUAAAUGAAGAUCAUCAAACAGCCCAAAGAUCACCGGAAGAGUCAGAACCACUACUGAGUAAACAACACAUGAUAUUAAAACAAGCAGAGCAAAAAACAUGAAGCAGAGACAACAUUGAUCAUAAGCAGAGAAAAUCUCAGCAUUAGAAAAUGAAAAUGAGAAGAACAUCAGCAAGGAGAUUCCAACUGGAACAAUGAAAAACCACAUACGAGGAUCUAAUCUUUUAACCAGCAGUGAGACUGUAUGGAGAGCAGAUGAAAACUUAUGCUGC